rnacentral:rRNA from 1 species
AUUGAACGCUGGCGGCAUGCCUUACACAUGCAAGUCGAACGGCAGCACGGGUGCUUGCACCUGGUGGCGAGUGGCGAACGGGUGAGUAAUAUAUCGGAACGUACCUUAUUGUGGGGGAUCACGCAGCGAAAGCUGUGCUAAUACCGCAUAAUCCCUAAGGGGGAACGCGGGGGAGCGUAAGGCCUCGCUCAAUUAGAGCGGCCGAUAACUGAUUAGCUAGUUGGUGAGGUAAAGGCUCACCAAGGCAACGAUCAGUAGCUGGUCUGAGAGGACGAUCAGCCACACUGGGACUGAGACACGGCCCAGACUCCUACGGGAGGCAGCAGUGGGGAAUUUUGGACAAUGGGGGCAACCCUGAUCCAGCAAUGCCGCGUGAGUGAAGAAGGCCUUCGGGUUGUAAAGCUCUUUUGUCAGGGAAGAAACAGCAGCUCUAACACAGUAUGCGAAUGACGGUACCUGAAGAAUAAGCACCGGCUAACUACGUGCCAGCCGCCGCAGUAA